GUGUGUGUAGAAAGGGAGGGGUGGUUAGAACUCCCCUCGACAAGAUAGAAAAGGCCUUUGGGCCCAUGUAACAUGCACAUGGCUCAGGCAUAGCCACCUAAUGAAGGGUUAUCAACAUCUCUAG